AGGUCGCCGUUCAAUAAUACGUAAUGUAUAGACUUUUGAGUAUACGAAGCUCCCUGUUUCUCUAGGUUCACCUGAGAUUUAUCUGGUCUUUCAGGGCUUAAAAGGGAGACAUUCCCAAAGAAGAUUCCGUGGGAAGUCUCCUACAAGCCCCGAAGGAAGGGAAUCUCUCUCCUCAUACCUUGAGUUUCCUGAGUACAAUUAUUAUAGAUAUACGAAGAUCUCUGUGCUCAUGGAGAAUUUGUGUCAAGGGAUUUGUACAGCCCUGUAGGAGACACCUCCAGAGAAAGUAACAGCUCUCAAUUGAUUAGCUGAGAAUAAACAGAUGCUUUUACAGCUCGCCUUGGCGGGAAGAUCUGGCACAAAUGAAGUAUCUAUAAGGAGCAGCAGAGUCAAGGUGGUGAUCCUGUGGAUGAAUAACUGAAACCUGAUAUACUUGACAGCAGAAAAUAUAAAGCAAAUUGAAAAGGAGAGAGUGUGGAGAUAAAUAAGAAAAUGAAAGAACUGAUAAAGUCACUUGGAUUAAAAAACCUGGGAGUAAGGGCUUUGUUUAUGAUUGAACUUAAGAGAGAAUUGAGGGACCACCUACCUUUGAUGUUAACGAGAAAGUAAAGAGGAAACAUAUUUAGAGAUACCCUUUGGUGAAAAACAGAAAUGGAUGUGUCAUUUGAUGCAUCACAUUAUUUAUUCAACAAACUCUUAGUGAGAACUUACUGUGUA
ensembl:lncRNA novel transcript